UACGUAGGGGGCAAGCGUUGUCCGGAUUUAUUGGGCGUAAAGAGCGUGUAGGCGGCUUUACAGGUCCGUUGUGAAAACUCGAGGCUCAACCUCGAGACGCCGGUGGAAACCGUAAAGCUAGAGUCCGGAAGAGGAGAGUGGAAUUCCUGGUGUAGCGGUGAAAUGCGCAGAUAUCAGGAGGAACACCAAUUGCGAAGGCAGCUCGCUGGGACGUAACUGACGCUGAGACGCGAAAGCGUGGGGAGCAAACGGG
rnacentral:rRNA from 1 species